UCCGCUGCGUGUCUUCGCAGUAGCCUCAUCUCCCUUCUUCAGCACCCUUGGCCCUAUCUUUAUUUCCCACUGGAGUAUUAUUGCUUCCAGUAUCUGGUUCAACUUACUCAGCCUUUGACGGGCUUUUGGUAAGCAUGGCCUUCCUUCUCAACAGCUUUCUUUCUGCCACUCCUUAAUAAAACAGAGGGAUUAUGUGUAUUUCACACAGAGACAACAAGUGGAAGAAGAGACCCCAUGC